AUUGAACGCUGGCGGCAGGCUUAACACAUGCAAGUCGAACGAGUGGCGGACGGGUGAGUAAUGCUUGGGAAUCUAGCUUAUGGAUGGGGAUAACUACGGGCAACUGUAGCUAAUACCGCGUACCAUAGGAUGAGCCCAAGGGGGAUUAGGUAGUUGGAUGGGUAAAGGCUCACCAAGCCGACGAUCUCUAGCAGGUCUGAGAGGAUGACCAGCCACCUUGGGAUUGAGACACGGCCCAGCCUCCUACGGGUGGUAGCAGUGGGGAAUAUUGCGCAAUGGGGGCAACCUGACGCAGCCAUGCCGCGGGAAUGAAGAAGGCCUUCGGGUUGUAAAGUUCUUUCGGUAGCGAGGCGUUACCUACAGAAGAAGCACCGGCUAACUCCGUGCCAGCAGCCGCGGUAAUAC
rnacentral:rRNA from 1 species